GACGAACGCUGGCGGCGUGCCUAAUACAUGCAAGUCGAGCGGACAGAUAAGGAGCUUGCUCCUUUGAAGUCAGCGGCGGACGGGUGAGUAACACGUGGGCAACCUGCCUAUAAGACUGGGAUAACUCCGGGAAACCGGGGCUAAUACCGGAUAGAUUCUUUCCUCUCAUGAGGAAAGAAGGAAAGAUGGUUUCGGCUAUCACUUAUAGAUGGGCCCGCGGCGCAUUAGCUAGUUGGUAAGGUAACGGCUUACCAAGGCGACGAUGCGUAGCCGACCUGAGAGGGUGAUCGGCCACACUGGGACUGAGACACGGCCCAGACUCCUACGGGAGGCAGCAGUAGGGAAUCUUCCGCAAUGGACGAAAGUCUGACGGAGCAACGCCGCGUGAACGAAGAAGGCCUUCGGGUCGUAAAGUUCUGUUGUUAGGGAAGAACAAGUACGAUAGUAACUGAUCGUACCUUGACGGUACCUAACCAGAAAGCCACGGCUAACUACGUGCCAGCAGCCGCCGUAAAAC
rnacentral:rRNA from 1 species